UACGUAGGGCGCAAGCGUGUCCGGAAUUAUUGGGCGUAAAGAGCUCGUAGGCGGUUUGUCGCGUCUGCUGUGAAAACCUAAGGCUCAACCUUGGGCUUGCAGUGGGUACGGGCAGACUAGAGUGCGGUAGGGGUGACUGGAAUUCCUGGUGUAGCGGUGGAAUGCGCAGAUAUCAGGAGGAACACCGAUGGCGAAGGCAGGUCACUGGGCCGCAACUGACGC
rnacentral:rRNA from 1 species